UGGGGAAUUUUGGACAAUGGGGGCAACCCUGAUCUAGCAAUGCCGCGUGUGUGAAGAAGGCCUUCGGGUUGUAAAGCACUUUUGUCCGGAAAGAAAUCCUUGGCUCUAAUACAGUCGGGGGAUGACGGUACCGGAAGAAUAAGCACCGGCUAACUACGUGCCAGCAGCCGCGGUAAUACGUAGGGUGCAAGCGUUAAUCGGAAUUACUGGGCGUAAAGCGUGCGCAGGCGGUUUGCUAAGACCGAUGUGAAAUCCCCGGGCUCAACCUGGGAACUGCAUUGGUGACUGGCAGGCUAGAGUAUGGCAGAGGGGGGUAGAAUUCCACGUGUAGCAGUGAAAUGCGUAGAGAUGUGGAGGAAUACCGAUGGCGAAGGCAGCCCCCUGGGCCAAUACUGACGCUCAUGCACGAAAGCGUGGGGAGCAAACAGGAUUAGAUACCCUGGUAGUCCACGCCCUAAACGAUGUCAACUAGUUGUUGGGGAUUCAUUUCCUUAGUAACGUAGCUAACGCGUGAAGUUGACCGCCUGGGGAGUACGGUCGCAAGAUU
rnacentral:rRNA from 1 species